AUAAAUAAAUUAUUUGGUACUACUAGCGAACAGCAGUCCCGGUGCGCACACGUGUAGUCGCGCAUACGCGCCAGCUAGUCAUGACUAGUCGAUCCUUACUUUGUGUUAUUUACUUUGUUUAAAAAAUUAUCUACUUUGUGUUUUUGUGUUUUAUUUACUUUUUUUAACAAAAAUUAUUCACUUUGUGUACAAAAAAUUAUUUAUUUU